UACGCUGCUAACCAAUUUAUUCCCAAGAUUAUAUCAAAGUUUUCCGUGUCAAUCUCUAUCAUGUCCACACUUAAUUUUCUACUUGCUAUGUCUAUGAUACAAGUUUUGUGUAUAACUUUCUCUAGUAGUGUCAUACUUCUAAAAAUAGAUACAAACAACAUAAAAUCAAGUCUUCCCGGUGAUACAUUUAAGUUUUGUGUAAAAGUGUGUGAGAUAAAUGAAUGUGAAGUACCAGUAUCAAUUAAAACAUGUGCAAGGUGAUUGCAGAUAGUAUACGUACUCUAUAUCACAUUUGGGUUAGCUUCAACAUCCUGUUUAGUUAGGUUGUAAGCUCUGCCUUAGAUAAGAGGUCUGGCCUGGUUCUGAUUCUGUGGGCACUCUCUCGCGUAAUGUUGGGUACUCUCACAUAUGCGACAAGUAUUAUUGAAACGAUAGUAGGGUCGAUCCGCAUGAUCCUUACCACAGAGAUGACUAGUCCUACCGCAUCUUGUUACCAAAGCUUGAUGAGGAGUCUGAAUCACUAGCCUAGACAUCUUGUUCAACUGAACCGGUGCAGUGAGUACUGAUAUGCGGUGUGAAAUCGAGGGUCUAAGAUAUCCCACUGCUGGAGAAAAGAUGCGAAUGUUGUUCUCUGCUAGCUGUGCCUUUGCCAGAAUAGGUGAGUAGGUACUGAGCUCAAAUAUGUACAGCUACUGUCUGAUCUCAGGGCGGAGGUUCUACUCGAACUUCCUUACCUUUCUGCUUUCAUCCAUCAGGGGUGGAACUGGGUCCUGUGGAAGAGGGAUUGGAUUAUGUUGUGGUGGAAUUGAGUGGCCCUGUGGCGGUGCCGGAUGAUACGGUGGAGGCACCGGAUUGUAUUGUGACAAUGC
rnacentral:lncRNA from 1 species